AGGUGUCUAUAUUUGCAACAGGUCAGAUUGUUUACCUGUCGCGAUCUUUUUGACUUCAGGGAAGAGCCAGAAGUCACCCAGCCCCAGAUCCUGUGAAUAAGGUGAGUGAGGACACAUCAGCAUGGCUUUAAGAGCCUGCCUUUCCCCUCGAUGGCACUCAGAGGCAGCAGUCACCACAUUCAUCACACCUCACCAAACAAGACUUCAGAACUGUCAGAAAGUGACAAGAAUAAGACAAGAUCAGAUUUCUUCUCAUCAUCUGUAAACUGCCCAUGUGACUCCAUUCACAUUUAGAUCUGUAUACCUAGAACCUCAAAUCUACUUUUCUGUAAAUUCUUAAAGGUCAGUUCAUCUAUGCUGUAACUCUUUAUCCUGUAUGUAAGGUUUUCUAUCACCCAUGAUGUAUUAGACAUUUUCCAUUAUUGUAAUAAAAAAUCUGACAUGAUCAACUUACAA
rnacentral:lncRNA from 1 species